UGUUUCCUACGGGGGGCAGCAGUGAGGAAUAUUGGUCAAUGGGAGAGAUCCUGAACCAGCCAAGCCGCGUGAGGGAAGACGGCCCUAUGGGUUGUAAACCUCUUUUGCCGGGGAGCAAAAAGCGGUACGUGUACCGCAUCGAGAGUACCCGGAGAAAAAGCAUCGGCUAACUCCGUGCCAGCAGCCGCGGUAAUACGGAGGAUGCGAGCGUUAUCCGGAUUUAUUGGGUUUAAAGGGUGCGCAGGCGGCGAGUUAAGUCAGCGGUAAAAUUUCGGGGCUCAACCCCGACGAGCCGUUGAAACUGG
rnacentral:rRNA from 1 species